GAACUAUUAUGCUCCAAUAAAACGUAACGCAGUGUGUGUCCGGUCGUGCAGGUACCCAAACCGGAUGUUGUGUCAUUUUUAAUUGAAAAACAAAACGCAUGUCUAACGUUGCGUUAUAACGUUGUAAAAGACGAGUCGAUUUUUACGCAGGUUCGGAAUAAGAGAACGUCAACUGUUUAUUAUCGGGACGCGUCGUAUCCUACGUAUAUAGGAUGUAAAGCCAUCUUGUCACACGGCGUAAUCGAUUUGUAUACAAUAUACAUAUAUAUGUGUAUAUAACGUGACACGUGCAGCGCCAAAACGGCUCGCGUUAUAUUUACACAAACUGGUUUCAAAUAAUAUAAAAUUGUAGGUCGUAUCGAAAUUGGGUUGAUAAACUCUUGAUUUUUUUUAUUUAUUUAUUAUUUUUUU